UGCCCUCAACAGUCUUCAUAUCUUUGCCUACCCUUCUUGGGAGAAGAUAGAUAUAUAGAAUAUUAGGCACUAUCUAGCUAUCACAAAAAUGUCCAAGGUUAGCACCCUUUGCAUCGUAUCCCUUCUACUUUUUCUUACCCUAUCUUACGCGGUUGCCCGGCCGGUGGCUACAUUUCAGGACGUAACUCCGAUGGAAACUCAUCAUGGUCAUCGUGUGAAUGAUCAUGUUGAGAAGGUAGAUAAAGAGGAGAGUUGCGAAGGACUUGGAGAAGAUGAGUGCUUGAUGAGAAGAACACUGGAGGCUCAUCUCGACUAUAUAUACACGCAGGGGCAAAAGCAGCCCUGACGAUAUAGUAUAUAUCUUUGUUCUUACUCCCUCAUUUUUCUCAUGUCUUAUGCAUGAGCAUUUGUGCGUGUAUAUAUCAUAUAUGAUCCUUCUACACAUCAUAUAUAGUCUCGGUUGUUUGUGAUCAAUGCGAAUGUAUCUUGGGUAACCGAUAAACAUUUGUGCUAGAAAUAUAAUUCUAGCUCGUGAUUUGCCUUAAUUA